UACAGAGGGUGCGAGCGUUGUCCGGAAUCACUGGGCGUAAAGGGCGCGUAGGCGGUCUCUUAAGCGUGUGGUGAAAGCCCGGAGCUCAACUCCGGGUCGGCCGUGCGAACUGGGGGACUGGAGCUUGUCAGAGGCAGGCGGAAUUCCGGGUGUAGCGGUGGAAUGCGUAGAGAUCCGGAAGAACACCGGUGGCGAAGGCGGCCUGCUGGGACAGUGCUGACGCUGAGGCGCGACAGCGUGGGGAGCAAACAGG
rnacentral:rRNA from 1 species